UACAGAGACUGCAAGCGUUAUUCGGAUUCACUGGGCGUAAAGGGUGCGCAGGCGGUUGGGCGCGUCAGCUGUGAAAACCCGAGGCUUAACCUCGGAACUGCGUCUGAAACUACUCGACUAGAGUACUGGAGAGGGAAACGGAAUUCACGGUGUAGCAGUGAAAUGCGUAGAUAUCGUGAGGAACACCAGAGGCGAAGGCGGUUUCCUGGACAGUUACUGACGCUCAGGCACGAAAGCAUGGGGAGCAAAAGGG
rnacentral:rRNA from 1 species